rnacentral:lncRNA from 1 species
UAACAAACCUUUUAUAGAAAAUAAAUGAAACAGAAACAUAAAUUACUAAAAUUUGGCUAAAAUAAAAAUACUAUGCAAUUACUAAGGAAACCCUCUUACAUCAAACAAGGUUUUUGCAUGUUCCAAAAAAUUAUUGUAAGAAACAAUGCUUAAAUACAAAUUCCACACGUAAUAAAAAGAAAUAUGUUUUGCAAAUGUAAUUCUCACAUAAACAAAUGUAUUGAAAUCCAAAUCUUGUUACAACAAGGAACCAUAAUUUGCUUCAAUUUCUGCCUUGAAGUUUAAGGGUAAAUUCCUUCAAGGACACAAUAACUUUCUUCAAUCUAUUCUUGAUCUCUUCAUCAACCAAGUCACCAUCAUCGUUACAUUUAUCUGGAUGCUUAAAUACAUCUAGGUAGAACUCAGCGUGGAUGGGUUUAUUGAUGAAAUGAAUAUCAAGGAAAACCCCGAUUUGGCGGAGAUGAUGUUGAGCUUUUCCUCCACCAAAGGCUCCUCCAACACUCACUAUGGCAGCAGUUUUACCAGCCCAUACAUUUGGUGGUCUUGAUCCCCAAUCAAGUGCAUUCUUUAAUGGAAUAGUUAUACUCAGGAGAAGCAAAUAGAAAGCUAUCAGCUCCAAGAAUAUAAUCACGAAAAUCUUCAACUUCAAGAGGAAAAGUCCCUUCUUCCUCAAGAUCAGUGUUCAACAAUGGCAAAUUCGAAAUAUCAACGUACACGAAUUCCAUAUCAUCAACAUCAACAUCACCAAAUAUGUUCAGAUGAAUAGCUACCCAUAAAAAAUAAAAAUAAAAUAAGUUAAACCUUUAAAUUCAAUAACACAUUAAAUGUUUACCAUUUGUGCUACACUUACUAGACAAUAAAAUGUACUAUAUAAUAAAAUGUUAGUAUUUAAAAUAUAUAUGUGUUGUAAUAAAGAAGUAAAUAACCAUGACGAAUGAGGCCAGUGUGAAAAGAGCCUUUUCGUAGAGAACCAGAG